ensembl:lncRNA
AUGCUGGGAUCAUUUUGGAGCAGUUCAAUCUGUGUGCGCCACGUGUCAUAAUCAGUUUCAUUGUUAGGUCUGGGAACCUUACCGGAGAAGGAACGGAGUCUCACCUGGGACUGGAUGUGUGGGACAACAUCUUGCCUUCGUACGAUAUGCUCUACCACGACCUUCUGAAUGUCAGGAGCGGGCGGAGAUACGACAGCAGGCUCGGCAUACGUGGGGAAAGGUUCUUCAGUGAUACCUGUGUUAUCCCAGUGACAACAACUGCAAUAGGUAUUUUGACACCAGACUUUUGUAUGAAAUCCAUACUGGUCAUUGCCUCAAUAUUGAUGCUCAAAUCAAAUGGCUCCUGGCUGGCUCGCCACUUCUGUAACCAACUUUAAGGUAUAAAGGUGAAUUACAGCACAAUAACUACUUGGGCUCGUAAUGAGGCCCUAGCCAGUAUCAGAAGAUGCCAAAUUCGUAUGGAGCCAAAGUAUUGAGCAG